AAGGCCACAAACAGGAGAAACAUCAUUGGGGAAUUUCAUGGCAUCAUAAACAUUAAAUUUGAUAACUUCCCCUUCAAACUCCAUAGUCAAUGUGCCAUCAUGCACAUCAAUUUUUGUUCUUGCUGUGCUCAAGAAUGGUCUCCCAAGUAAGAUAUCAGAGGUGAUGUUGCCUUUAUCCUCCUCCAUGUCAAUCACAUAAAAAUCAGCUGGGAAGACUAGUU
rnacentral:lncRNA from 1 species